AACGAACGCUGGCGGCAUGCCUAACACAUGCAAGUCGAACGAGGCCCUUCGGGGUUUAGUGGCGCACGGGUGCGUAACGCGUGGGAAUCUGCCCUUUGGUUCGGAAUAACAGCUGGAAACGGCUGCUAAUACCGGAUGAUGACGAAAGUCCAAAGAUUUAUCGCCAGAGGAUGAGCCCGCGUUGGAUUAGGUAGUUGGUGGGGUAAAGGCCUACCAAGCCGACGAUCCAUAGCUGGUCUGAGAGGAUGAUCAGCCACACUGGGACUGAGACACGGCCCAGACUCCUACUUGAGGCAGCAGUGGGGAAUAUUGGACAAUGGGCGCAAGCCUGAUCCAGCAAUGCCGCGUGAGUGAUGAAGGCCCUAGGGUUGUGAAGCUCUUUUACCCGGGAAGAUAAUGACUGUACCGGGAGAAUAA
rnacentral:rRNA from 1 species